rnacentral:lncRNA from 14 species
GAGAUUAUUAAUAUCCACAGAGGAAGUCUCUGUGAUGAUUAAGACUUGCUUUCAGUACUCAGUGGGUAUGUCUGUGCUUUCGGAGAUGUUAAUGACACAGAUCCACUCUGCUGCCAUUCACAAAGGGUUUUCUGUCAUUCUGGUAGCUAUAAAAGCAUGGUGACCUGCUGGAGUUGAGCAUCCAGAGGCAUGUAUAAUCUGGAGGUGGCAUUGAAGCUGCCAGGUAAGCAGAUAGUAUCUGGUUCUGAUGAGUGCCCAGUGAAAGACUCCUCCACUAGCAAUGAAGAGAGUGGGAUGGUGCCAGUGGAUUUGGGUGACAAGACCUGAAUCGAGUGGACACCAUGCAUCAUUACUUUCUGCUCCUUUAUCUUCUCUUCAAGGUGGACCUCGCAUUGGAGUAGAGGAAAAUCCCUUCAUGUUGGAAACAAAAGGCAGCAGCAUCAGAGCAGAAGGAUCAGCUGAACCUUCCUAUGGAAAGCCUUCAUCCCUCCACUUGCCCAUCUGCCUGAGCUAUGACGAAAAAGAAGUCUCUUAGAAGAUUAUGUAGCACUCCUUAAUGCUGGCUUCUGGCAAUAUAACCGGGCCAUCCAGUUCAUUCACUCCCCUUAUGAAAGUAGUAUGGUUUAGUGGAAGGUUUCAUCUUGUGUCCACAAAGCCUUUUUAUUUUAUGCCCUGAAACCACUAGUAAAAUUCUAAAAUGUACCAGCUUGUUUGAAAGCCUUCAGGAUAUUCAGAAAAGAAUUAUGGUUGUGACCAGCAAACUCUUUGCUGUACCUGUAAAACAGGUCCUCCAAGAGGCAUAAGCAGUAGCCUCUAAGCACUGCUACUAAGAACAGCAUCCAUAUUGGAGACCAGCAGGGAUGGAGAGCUGGUACUUGAAGGAAGACAUGGGAGGUGUGUGUGUGCUCAAGGUAUGUCUUAAACUACAGCUGUUUUUCAGUCCCGUUUCAAAGUGUCAUGCAUUCACCCAACAGGUCCACACUCACAUGCUGGGUCCAGAUGUGCUCCAUGCAGGGACCCUUACAGAGCUGUUGGAGCAAUACCAAGUUAGAUCAGCUACAGAGUAGGCAUACAUGGGAUGUUUGAGUCAAGUAGAAAAAGCCCAUAAAAAUCCCCUCACCCACAGCAUUUCCCAAAAGUUCAUUUUCACUUAAGUUUCUAACCAUGUCUUGCAACACAAUGUAGGUUUUUCCCCCCUCAUCCCUUAUCUAUAUGUUGGUAAAGGACUGGAAGCUAAAUCAUAAGAAGCAAUAGGCAUAUGCUGCUCCUAGCUGCAGGUGAUUGGCACUUCUCAAAUUCAUACAUAACAGCUAAAGCACAAAUUUCACUGCCAGUUUAGUGUGGUGGAGAUCCACCUUCACUGCGCAGUCAGAAGGCUGCAUACUAUAUCAGAGCAAUUGAUACUUUUUUCAAAUAUUAAAAAUCCCCAAACUCUUACAUGUGAAACGCUCGUGCCAUGUGCCAGAGCUGAGGUGAUAUGCUUGUGCGCUUAGGCUCCUGUUCCUCUAUAAUCUACCCAAAGAGGAGUGCCACUGAGACCUUGAAUCCAAGUGUGUAUCAAGAAAUAAAAAUGUCAUGAAACUGCUUCUGAAUGGGUAA